rnacentral:rRNA from 1 species
CAAAAAUUACAUCCGUAACUUCGGGAGAAGGAUGACCCUAUUAGGGUGAAGGGACUUGCUCCCCGAGCUCGAGAGGGUGACACAAACCAGGGGGUAGCGACUGUUUACCAAAAACACAGCAGCGUGCUAAGCCGCAAGGCGCUGUAUACGCUGUGACGCCUGCCCAAUGCUGGAAGGUCACGGGGAACGGUUAGUCGAAAGGCGAAGCUGUGAACCUAAGCCCCAGUGAAUGGCGGCCGUAACUAUAACGGUCCUAAGGUAGCGAAACUCCUUGUCGGGUAAGUUCCGACCUGCACGAAUGGCGUAACGACUUCCCCACUGUCUCAACCAUAGACCCGGCGAAAUUGAAGUACGAGUAAAGAUGCUCGUUAGCUGCGGAAGGACGGAUAGACCCCGUGGACCUUUACUACAACUUGAUAUUGAGCUUUGUCCUGCAUUGUGUAGGAUAGGUGGGAGACUUGGAAGCUGUGGCGCUAGCCAUGGUGGAGUCAUCGUUGAAAUACCACCCUGUGUAUGACGGGGCUCUAACCUAGGUCCAUUAUCUGGGUCAGGAACAGUGUCAGGCGGGUAGUUUGACUGGGGCGGUCGCCUCCUAAAAUGUAACGGAGGCGCCCAAAGGUUCCCUCAGGCUGGUUGGCAAUCAGCCGUCGAGUGCAAUGGCACAAGGGAGCUUGACUGCGAGACCUACAAGUCAAGCAGGUGCGAAAGCAGGGCAUAGUGACCCGGCCAUCACGUGUGGAAGUGUGGUCGCUCAACGGAUAAAAGGUACCCUGGGGAUAACAGGCUAAUCUUUCCCAAGAGUCCAUAUCGACGGAAAGGUUUGGCACCUCGAUGUCGGCUCAUCGCAUCCUGGGGCUGAAGCAGGUCCCAAGGGUUGGGCUGUUCGCCCAUUAAAGCGGUACGCGAGCUGGGUUCAGAACGUCGUGAGACAGUUCGGUCCCUAUCCUCCGCAGCCGAAGGUGUAUUGAGGAAGGCUGUCCCUAGUACGAGAGGACCGGGACGGACGGAGCUCUGGUGUGUCUGUUGUCCUGCCAAGGGCAUGGCAGAUUAGCCACCUCCGGAAGGGAUAACUGCUGAAAGCAUCUAAGUAGGAAACCCGUUCCAAGAUGAGUACACCCAUGCGGUUAACGCAGUAAGGCCCGUGACAAGACCAUCACGUUGAUAGGCCGGAGGUGUAAGCACGGUAACGUGUGUAGCCGACCGGUACUAAUCGGCCGAGGGCUUGGAUCG